UACGGGAGGCAGCAGUGAGGAAUAUUGGACAAUGGAGGCAACUCUGAUCCAGCCAUGCCGCGUGCAGGAAGACUGCCCUAUGGGUUGUAAACUGCUUUUAUACAGGAAGAAACCUUGGUACGUGUACCAAGCUGACGGUACUGUAAGAAUAAGGAUCGGCUAACUCCGUGCCAGCAGCCGCGGUAAU
rnacentral:rRNA from 1 species